rnacentral:lncRNA from 1 species
AGACAAUCCUGGUCAAUAUGGUGAAACCUCGUCUCUACUAAAAAUACAAAAAUUAGCUGGGCAUGGUGGUUCACAUCUGUAGUCCCAGCUACUCUGGAGGCUGAGGCAGGAGAAUCGCUUGAACCCGGGAGGCAGAGAUUGCAGUGAGCUGAGAUCGCGCCACUGCACUCCAACCUGGCAACAGAGCGAGACUCUGUCUCAAAAAAAAAAAAAAAAAAAAAAAAAAGUAAAUAAAUACAUGAAAAUAAAAUCUGUGAUGUGGCCCAAGGCUUGUUUCUCACCUUCUCACCAAGUCUCCGGCCUUUCUAUGCUGUUUCUUUCUAUGCUGUUUCAUACAUCAGCUCCUUUACCCUUCUUGUUCUCCCUUAGGCAUUACAAAAUUAAGUUAACUGUACUCUGCCCAGGGUGGCUGGCUCUCGACAUUGCCCUGAAUGCAUGUGCUGGUUCUGCUUCCCUGCCACUGGGUAGGACAUACUGUACACCUGGAAUAGCUUCUCCUUUCUCCCAGCCUAGCUGAAUAUUCCUCACCUUUAAACCCUAAAGAGAGACUCUCUCCACCACGAAGGCUUACACGUAACACUUUGUUCAAUUGUUUGUAACAGAAGCUCAACUACAUUAUUUUAACCAAAUAGGGGUUUGUUUUCUCACACACCAAGAAGUCCAGAAGCAGACAGCCCAGGACUCUUACAGCUGCUCAGGGAAAUCACCAAGGACCAGGCUGCUUCUAACAUCCUUAUCUGACAACCCCAGCGACUGGCUUCAGUCCUCAUGGUGGACAGAGUCGGACGAUGUG